GACGAACGCUGGCGGCGUGCUUAACACAUGCAAGUCGAACGAAGUGGCGAACGGGUGAGUAACGCGUAAUCAACCUGCCCUUCAGAGGGGGACAACAGUUGGCAACGACUGCUAAUACCGCAUACUGAAGGAGGUGAUUGCGUCUGGUUAGCUGGUUGGAGGGGUAAAGGCCCACCAAGGCGAUGACCAGUAGCCGGUCUGAGAGGAUGAACGGCCACAUUUGGACGGGGACACGGCCCAGAAUCCUACGGGAGGCAGCAGGGGGGAAUCUUCCGCAAUGGACGAAAGUCUGACGGAGCAACGCCGCGGGAGUGAUGACGGCCUUCGGGUUGUAAAGCUCUGUUAAUCGGGACGCGGUACCGGAAUAGAAAGCCACGGCUAACUACGUGCCAGCAGCCGCGGUAAUUC
rnacentral:rRNA from 1 species